UAUGCUUGCGGGUAACAUGCUAACUGAAGAUGCUUUGCCUACUUAUCAGACUCUAUUUAAUACGUUUGAUGGAGUACGCGAUGAGACUGGAUCGAGCCCAUGUCCAUGGGCAAUUUGGACUCGGGCUUGGUCAGCUGAGGAAAAUCGACAUGGCGAUCUGCUAAGAACUUAUCUCUAUCUUUCCGGAAGAGUGGAUGUGUUGAUGGUGGAGAAAACACUACAAUACUCUAUUGGAGCUGGAAUUGAUAUCGGAGCAGAGAACAAUCCAUAUAUGGGGUUUGUGUACACGUCAUUUCAAGAGCGA
rnacentral:misc_RNA from 1 species